AUUGAACGCUGGCGGCAGGCCUAACACAUGCAAGUCGAGCGAGCGGCGGACGGGUGAGUAUUGUAUGUGGAUCUGCCUGAUGGCGGGGGGUAACUACUGGAAACGGUAGCUAAUACCGCAUACCCUCUGAUGAACCCAUAUGGGAUUAGCUAGUAGGUAAGGUAACGUAUUACCUAGGCGACGAUCCCUAGCUGGUCGGUGAGGAUGAUAAGCCACACUAGGACUGAGACACGGCCCAGACUCCUACGCGAGGCAGCAGUGGGGAAUAUUGCACAAUGGGAGGGAGCCUGAUGCAGCCAUGCCGCGUGUAUGAAGAAGGCCUUCGGGUUGUAAAGUACUUUCAGUCGUGAGGCGUUACCGUCAGAAGAAGCACCGGCUAACUCCGUGCCAGCAGCCGCGGUAAUAC
rnacentral:rRNA from 1 species